CAAAGACAUUCUCAAGGAGUCAUUCUGGUCGGAAGCAGCACCGGUAAUCGUAGAGGCUGACGCUUUUAAGGAAUCGGAUGUUAUUUACAGAGCCAUAAGCGCUAUGGGUCAUCACGAUGACAUGCUUCAAACAGCUGAAUUGGUGCACCAAUCAUCAACUGAUGCUGCAUCAUCUCUCCUAGUAACUGCAUUGAACGAGGC
rnacentral:misc_RNA from 1 species